rnacentral:rRNA from 1 species
GAUGAACGCUGGCGGCGUGCCUAAUACAUGCAAGUCGAGCGAACAGACGAGGAGCUUGCUCCUCUGACGUUAGCGGCGGACGGGUGAGUAACACGUGGAUAACCUACCUAUAAGACUGGGAUAACUUCGGGAAACCGGAGCUAAUACCGGAUAAUAUAUUGAACCGCAUGGUUCAAUAGUGAAAGACGGUUUUGCUGUCACUUAUAGAUGGAUCCGCGCCGCAUUAGCUAGUUGGUAAGGUAACGGCUUACCAAGGCGACGAUGCGUAGCCGACCUGAGAGGGGGAUCGGCAACACGGAAAGUGAGACCGGGUCCAGACUCCUACGGGAGGCAGGAGUAGGAAAUCUUCCGAAAUGGGGGAAAGCCUGAGGGAGCAACGCCGGGGGAGUGAAGAAGGGCUUCGGAUCGUAAAACCCUUUUAUUAGGGAAGAACAAAUGUGUAAGUAACUAAGCACGUUUUGACGGUACCUAAGAAAAAAGCCCCGGCUAACUCCGU